GUCACCUGAAGGAGUCUGGGUUUUCUGAGUGAAUGGCAAGCUGAAGAAUUUUAAGCAGGAAAAUGAGACAGUCUGAUUUAUAAUUUUAAAAGGUCACUGCUGUGCUAAAAAUAAGGAAGCAAGAGUCGAAGCAGGCAGAUGGGCCAGGAGACUCCUGCAGUGGUCCAGGAAUGUUUCCUGAGAACCUACUAUGCACCGAGUAGCUUGAGGGCCCUGGGAUUCACGGCAAACGAGACCCCCAAAGAUCCCUGUCGUCCUGGAGCUUCUGUUGGAGUUUGGGAGACAAACCGUCCAUGUAACAAACACAUCUGCAAGUUCCCGACGAUGCCAGAACGUGAAAGUGCUAAGUGCUCAGGCGCAGGGAUAAAGACGGAGUCAGGGGCACCUUGCGGCCCAAGUAGAGCGGCCUGGGAGGCCUGGCGGGAAGGUGGGGGUUAGCUGUGCCUGCAGGGGUGAAGGAGCCAGCGGGCGCCCACCAGGGGAUCCCCCUCCUCUGAGCCGCAAGCCCCGGCCGGCCGUGCCACUGUUGGCUCUGCCGAGCCCAGCCCAAUCCCACUACUGGAGCUCACAGUUAACCUGGGGAGGAGCUCCCCCGCGGGAGUCAGAGGCACCCCCUUGUUGGCGUGCAGCAGCUGCCCCGGGAGGGUCCUCCCACCUCCCUGAGCAGGCCCAGGCGGCACCCAUCACACGCGUCCUCCUGCGGCCUGAGCCCUGCCCUCUCCAUCCUGCUCGUCCCUGCAGCCAGCUCCACGCUGCUCCCUGCCUGCGGCUCUUCCAGAACCACCAGAGGCCCCGGGCUGCCCUGAGGCCGAGUCCGGUGCCAAGUCUCCCUCCCUCUCUCCUCACGCCCUGUGCUUCGGGCAGCUCGGAUCCCCGCGCCCCCCCCCCCCACCGCAGAUGUCAACCUGCCAGGGACUGGUCCAGGGAGGCACCUCAAGAACCGGCACAACGAGGAGGGAAGCCCACCCGCUCAUUCAUUCGUUCACUCGUUCAUUUGUCUAUUUAUUGUCUUUGACCUGCCAGAUGCCGUUCUGGGAGCCGGGACGCAGGGAGAAAACGCAGCCCCGGUCCUCAUGGGGAUCUUUCCCUGCUCUCAUCCUGCUUCCAAAAAAGAAAAUGUAACUCCUACUUGCUCCCUGUUCCAAAACCGCAGCCUGGAAGUAUGUGUGCUCGUACUCCCGCCUCUGCCAGCAGCGGAGGAUCAUCAUUAAAGGGGAAAGACGACGGCGCCGCUGGAACAUUAAGGGGCACCUGUCGGGAGCCUCCAGGUGAAGCCAGAAGAACAAGGCAACAGGGAAAUAGCUCUUGUCCCUGCCCCCUGCAGCCGUCCCCGCGGUGAGACAGGGAAGCAGGAAAAGUCCAGAAUGAGGGUCCCUGGAAGAGGACUGUCUGAUGAAGAGGAGAAGGAGACUCCAGCACCACGUGAUUGAUCAUUUCCAAGGAGCCUACGUAAAGCCCAAGAUGAAGAGAUGGAAAUGUUUCAUGGAGAGAACUAUGAUCCUGGGGUCUAGGGGUCCUGUUCCUUCCACAGCUAGCUGGGUAUAGGCAGAGGGUGAACCCCAUUGAGAACUAGUGGCCUCCAGGGACAUGUGCUCCUCUUAAGCCAAACCCUCUCAGAACAUCGCCCCGGGAAGUCAGAGCAGGGAGCCUCGGGCCUGGGUCUGGAGGGGACCUGAAGGAGCAGGGCCUGGGAGCCAGUGGGCAGAGCUGCGUGUCCGACCUGCGCCGGCUGGGACCGGACCAUUACACCCCGAAUCUCCGCUCCUCUUUGCCUCUGUCUCUUCCCAGCUAGACUGUGAGCUCCUGGAGGGCAGGGCCUGCAUCCUCCCCAUCCUCGGUUCCCCACAGCUUAAUAGGACUCCCCCGUUUUCCUACCUUGCUUGUGGGAAGAAUAAAUAA